rnacentral:lncRNA from 1 species
UGGCUUCUCUCCCUUAGGUGGUUUGCCAACUGGGGUUGGUGGCUUGUGUUCUGGGAGUGGCUUCUCCCCCUUGGGAGGUUUUUCCAAUGGGGUUGGUUUGUGUUCAGGAGGUGGCUUCUCCACUGGAGGCUUGUGUUCAGGAGGUGGCUUCUCCACCGGUGGCUUGUGUUCAGGAGGUGGCUUCUCCACCGGAGGCUUAUGCUCUGGUGGUGGCUUCUCCACCGGAGGCUUAUGCUCUGGUGGUGGCUUCUUGAAUGGGGGAUGCUGAGGGUAAUCAGCAAGUGAGGGGGCGGUGAGAACCACCAGGCCAAGCAACACCACUAGCAAAUAUGUAGGAGACAUCUUUGGGUUUGGGCUCAGAUGGUGCAAAACUAGGAGAAUUGGCUAGCCUUUUAUAGCGGAUCGUACUCAAUAAUGAAAUGACACGUGUCAUUAUGACCCAUGUGUAAUGGGGUCGAUUUGGGUCCUACAGUGUUGAAAACUUCGACAUCCAGUUUUGGCCUUUUGCUUUCUCUACAGCCGCCUUGCUUUUUCCCUCUUUCCUUUUGUUUUCCUCCUGCCCCAUUCUAUCAACUAAACACAAUUAUGUAGUUGUUUAAUUCUUAAAUGAGAUAUUAUCGGUCAAUCGUAUUAUAUUUUAUCAAGAGAGAACGGAGUGCAAUGCAGCUGUAAUUUUAUCGUUUACUUUUAUCUCUUGGACCACUGCAUUUUUGUUAAGAGGUGCAAUAAUACACGUCUUUAUCUGCCAUUCAAUGUUUACAGUAAAGAGAGGGCACAAAACUCUUCACUGCUCUGCAUGUGUCCCAAAAAUGCGAUUGGACAAAUUAUGAUUUGCAUGCUAAAAAGAGGCAAAUGAGGUUAAUUCGCACCAUAAUUAUUUGGUUUUCUGGACACCAUAAAAAGAUGUUAUACAGGCAGGGAAAAACCUUCAGAGUUAGCUACCAAAGAUAAUUAUCAAGCAGAUAUCACCAAGAGAAUUCCAUAGAGUCUGAAUCAAAGACAGAUUGCUCGCUCGUGGGGGUUCUUACUUUCUUUUGGGUAUAACUCACUGAGGUCACUGUCUUUUUUAUUUGCAUUUCACAGUUAGAGUUCUGCUCUGGAAGGUUUGUUCUGGAAACAUAUAAAAGGAGCAUCAUUUUGUUCUUGGGUAACCCAUAGUCGUGAGUGGGUCCAUUUGCAUGCUACUUAGUUGAAAAGUUGGACAAUUUGCUCCGACGCCUACCUCCUGGAUUCCAUGCUCGGUAAAACAAGAAUAAAAAAAAAUAUAUAAUUUACAAAUGGGGGAAAGAAAAAAUGUCGGAAAAAAUAGUAAAAUUCAUGUCACAUGCUAGUGAGAGAAGGGGUUGUUACACUCACUCGAAGUUCUUUUCAAAAUAUCGAAUGGUAUUUUACUUUAUGUGUCAGCGCAGUUGUGAAUGGAACGUGCAAAAGUCCAAAUUGGCGUUUUUAUUUUUCCCAUGUAGGAUGGUGACCUUUAAUAAAUAUUUAAAACAAAAGACGAAAAAAAAAAGGAGGGAAAAGGGAUCACAAAAGAUAAAAUAAUGUUUACAAAAGCUCAAUUAGUUUGCAAAUUACUGUUUGGAUUUUGAUAGUAUUUUAUUUGUCGUUCUAUAUUUGAUGUAAAAGAGAAUUUAAGAUAUUUCCGAAGCAAAAGCAUUAGUUUGCUCUGUGAUGUCCCACAUCGAAUAGGGGAGAAAGUUUCUGGCGCUAUAUAUGUAGAGGCUCCUCUUAACCAAGUAGAUGCGUUUUAAAACCAUGAGGGCCCCCUUAGGUCCAAAGCGGACAAUAUCUACAUGAUUGGGUGUAAGUCAUUACAAAUGGUAUCAGAGCCGAUCCCCGACCCCGGUGUGGGGGUUUGUUUGGCCCUGUAAGGGGUGUUUGUCUGUUUGACCCCACAAUCCCAUGGGACACAACGAGGACGUUGUGUCUGCAUGGGGGGGCGUUUGUGAUGUCCCACAUCGGAUAGGGGAGAAAGUUCCUAGUGCUAUAUAUGUAGAUGUUUCUCUUAACCAAGUAGAUGCAUUUUAAAAUUGUGAGGGCCUCUUUGGGCCCAAAGCGGACAAUAUCUACAUGGUUGAGUGUAAGUCAUUACAUGCUCCAUGUCAAUUUCAGCAUUUCUCAUAUGUUUCACACAUACACAGAAGAGCAUCGUUUUUUAAAGCAUGCAUUUAUGUUGGAUUAAUUUGGAUUUUGUGGGAACUGGGGCAAGGAUCACAUGGAAGAGAGGUUGACUUUUUUCAGUACUUCAAUGGUUGAAAUAUGUGAAGGCUUGAUUGAUACUAAAGCUUGAAAUUGCGACUCUGUCAUUUGUAAAAAAAUAUGACAGCUUCCAUGCUCUCGUUUGGUUGCAUUGUCCGGUCGAGAGGUGCAAAAAGCAUUCUCUCUCUUCUAAUAGUCUUUUCGUUUAAAUCAAGGGAUUUGCCUUCCCGGUCGAGGUCCAAUAGAGGGUAACGGUCACCUACUAAACAUUAAAUGCUCCAACAACUAGUGAACUGAUCGACCCCAGCUCGACUAGUUGAGGUUACUUUUUGGUUUUCUUGUCUCCCGAGGUUAGAAACCUAUAAAUAGAGAGCUUCACUUCAUUUAUGAGUAAGAGAACACCUAAAUUUAUUUGUUUACCUACUUGUUUUUGCCAUAAAAGCUCUCAUUUCUUUUCUUGGUGUAUUAAAUCUCCAUUUGCAUAUCCUUUAGUGCACCUUUGUGAUUCAUUCUAGCCUUGAGUUGUAUUUAAGCCUUUGUUGAGCUAGGUUGAGAGUUUCAUACUUGUUUAUUGAGUGUUAAAGCCUUCAAGUGAGUUAAAACUUGAAGAGAUUGUGUAAGAGCCCAUUGGAGUCGGAAUCCAAGUGUAAAGGUGAUUAAAAGCUUGGUUGAAGCUUCAAGUUAGUGGAACUCUCACUCGGUUAUGAGCUUGAGAAGAGUGGACAUAGACAAGGCAGUGUCGAACCACUAUAAAAUCUGAGUUUGAUUUCUCUAACCUUAUCUCUUUAUAUUUGCUUCUCUUGUGCUUAAAUUUUUUGUGUUUAAAAAGAAUUUUUAAAAACUCAAUUCACCCCCUUCUUGGGAGUUUUUCUCUUUUAAGAUCAGCUUUUAUUUUCUCAAUUGGUAUCAGAACUAUGCCUCUUGUUUAAGACUUAAUCGUCUAAGAGGAAAUGGCUAAUCCAUCAAGUUCAUCUCACAUUGAAAGUUUUGCAACCAAUAGACUUCUUUUUUUUUUUUUGCGGGAACUGAUUAUCCCUAUUGGAAAACUAAAAUGACUUGGUUUUUACAAUCAAUUGAUUUAGAUGUAUGAGAUGCCAUUGAAGAUGACCUAACUUUUCCUUCAAAACUAGUUGAUGGAGUCAUGGUUCCAAAACCUAAGCAAGAAUGGGAUGAGCGUGAUUGAAGAAAUUUUCAAUUAAAUGCUAAAGUCGUUUAUACUUUGCAAUGCUCUAUGGACAGAAAUGAAUAUAAUAGAAUAUGUCAAUGCAAAUCGGUUAAAGAAAUUUGGAGAUUGCUUGAAAUAACUCAUAAAGGAACAAAUCAAGUUAAAGAGUCAAAAAUCAAUUUACUUGUUCAUAGAUAUGAAUUGUUUUUUAUGAAAGAUAAUGAAACUAUUGUUAAGAUGAUCACUAGGUUCACCAACAUUGUUAAUGGUCUUAAAGCCUUGGGAAAGACCUACAAGGAAUCCGAAAACGUGAUGAAGAUCUUGAGGUCACUUCCAUCAAAGUGGCAUACCAAGGUCACCGCAAUUUAAGAAGCAAAAGACUUGAUCAAGCUACCUUUGGAGGAGUUCAUAGGGUCAUUGAUGACAUAUGAAAUCAAUUUGGCAAAGAAGUAACAAAAAGGUGAAGACAAAAAGAAGAAGAACAUAACUCUCAAAGCUACAACUAAGGAAGAAGAAGUUGAAGAAGAAAAACAAAUUGAAGAAGAUGAAGAUUUAGCCCUCAUCACAAGAAAGUUCAACAAAUUCAUGAGGGGUGAAAGGUUUAGAAGAAGAAGGUUCACUUCUAGAAGAGACUUUUCUAAAAAGGAAUCUUCAUCUAAUGGUGACAAAAAGAGAUGGGAAGAGAAAAGAGACUUGGUGUGUUUCAAGUGCAAGAAACCGGGACACAUUAAAUAUGAUUGUCCUCUCUACAAAAGUGAAGUCAAGAGGAAAAAGAAUAAGGCAAUGAUGGCCACUUAGAGUGAAAGUGAAGAUGAAUCAUCCGAAGAAGAAAAUGAGAAAGAAGUGGCAAACAUGUGUUUCAUGGCAAUAGAUGAACUUGAUGAGGUAAAAUCUAACCUUAGUGAUUAAGAUAUACAUGAUGCAUUUGAAGAAUUGUAUGAGGAUUUUUAAAAACUUAGUUUGAAAAAUAUUUCUCUUAAAAAGAAAGUUCAACAACUUGACAAAGAACUUAGAGAAGUAAAAGAAAAAUUUUCAAAUGUUAAAGUUUCUAAAACUCAUCUUGAAAAAGAAAAUGAGAUUCUAAGAAAGAAAAAUGAAUAGUUGAACUCCUCUCUUUCAAUCUUUUCUUCUAGACAAAAAUCUUUUGAAAUGAUUCUAACUAGCUAAAAAUGUGUUUUUGACAAACAAGGGUUAAGAUUUAAAUCUUCAAAAAAUCAAAAGUAUUUUAAAAACUAUUUUGUAAAGGAAUCCACAAGUGCAAGUCCUUCCACUACUUGCAACUUUUGUGGAAGAGAAUGGCACAUUAGUAGUACGCCCUUUAAGAAAUGGUUCUCAAAAGAAUUUAAAUGCAAAAACUAAAAAAGAUUUGGAUUGAGAAAUCCAAGGUCACUAACCCUCAAGGACCCAAAAAGAUAUAGGUACCUAAAUCAACUUGAGUUUUAUGUUGUAAGGUUCAAAGAAUGAUAAGUGGUUCUUAGAUAAUGGUUGCUCAAGACACAUGACCGGAGAUGAAUCCAAGUUUGCUUUUCUUAAAAAGAAAAAUGGAGGAUAUGUUACCUUUGGAGACAAUGCAAAAGAAAGGAUGAUUGGUCAAGGCAACAUUGGUAAUGGCACAUCCUCUCUCAUUGAAAGUGUUUUAUUAGUAGAUGGUUUCAAACAUAACCUUUUAAGCAUUAGUCAAUUUUGCGACAAAGGUUUUUAAGUGAUUUUUUAAGCAUCUCAUUGCAUCAUCAAGGAUAUUCAAAAUGAUAAAACCAUUUUCAUGGGCCAUAGAUGUGAUAAUGUUUAUGCUAUAAAUAUUUCAAAAUAUGAUGGCCAUGAUAGAUGUUUUUCAAGCAUGCAUGAUCAAAGUUGGUUGUGCCAUAGGAGAUUGAGACAUGCUAACAUAGACCUCAUUUCCCAACUCAACAAAGAUGAACUUGUUAGAGGCCUUCCCAAAAUAAUUUUUUAAAAAGAUAAAGUUUGUGAAGCUUGUCAAGUGGGAAAGUAAAUCAAAAACUCUUUUAAAAACAAAAACUUCAUUUCCACAUCUAGGCCACUUGAGUUGUUGCAUAUGGAUUUAUUUGGUCCCUCUAGGACACCAAGUCUUAGAGGAAAUUCUUAUGCAUAUGCUAUUGUGGACGACUUCUCUAGAUACACAUGAGUCUUGUUUUUUAGUCAAAAGAAUAAAGUUUUUUAUGAGUUUUCAAAGUUUUGCAAUAAGAUUCAAAAUGAAAAAGGUUUUUCAAUUACUUAUAUAAGAAGUGAUCAUGGGAGAGAAUUCGAAAAUAUUGAUUUUGAAGAGUAUUGCAAUGAGCAUGGAAUUGACCACAAUUUUUUGGCUCUUAGAACUCCUCAACAAAAUGGGGUAGUUGAAAGGAAAAAUAGAACUCUUCAAAAAAUGACAAGAACCAUACUAAAUGAAAACAACUUACCAAAAUAUUUUUAGGCCAAAACGGUUAACACUUCUUGUUAUGUUUUAAAUAGAGUAUUAUUGAGGCUCAUACUUAAGAAAACUCCCUAUGAGCUUUGGAAAAACAAAAAACCCAACAUUAGUUAUUCCAAAGUCUUUGGAUGCAAUAUUUUAUAAUAAACACCAAAGACAAUCUUGGAAAAUUUGAUGCAAAAUUGGAUGUUGGAAUUUUCCUUGGUUACUCAACUUCAAGUAAAGCUUUUCGAGUUUUAACAAAAGAACCAUGGUUGUAGAGGAGUCCAUCCAUGUUAUUUUUUAUGAAUCUCCAAGAAAGAGAGAGGAUUGAUGAUGAUUUAGGUUUGAAGACCUCUAUAGGAAGAUUGCAAAUCGAAGAUAGAAGACAACAAGAAGAAAAUGGAGAGAAUCCAAAGAAAGAAGGAUCACCAUUGGCACUACCCCCUCAUCAACAAGCGCAAGGUGAAUCAAGUCAAGAGCUUCCUAAAGAAUGGAAGUUUGUCAUCAAUCACCCACAAGAUCAAAUUAUAGGCAAUCCAUCUAGUGGGGUAAGAACUAGAUCCUCUCUUAGAAAUAUUUGCAAUAAUCUAGCUUUUAUCUCUCAAAUUGAGCCUAAAAAUAUAAAUGAUGUUUUAGAUGAUGAAAAUUGGAUAAUUGCAAUGCAAGAAGAGUUAAAUCCAUUUGAAAGAAGUGGAGUAUGGGAAUUAGUACCAAGACCUUCAAAUCAAAGUGUUAUUGGAACUAGAUGGAUCUUUAGAAAUAAAAUGGAUGAAAAUAGCAUAAUUGUUAGAAAUAAAGCAAGAUUGGUAGCCCAAGGUUUUAAUCAAGAAGAAAUGAUAGAUUAUGAAGAAACCUUUGCCCCCGUAGCUAGGUUGGAAGCCAUUAGGAUGCUACUUGCCUUUGCAUGUUUUAAAGACUUUGUUUUAUAUCAAAUGGAUGUGAAAAGUGCUUUUUUAAAUGGUUUUAUAAAUGAAGAAGUAUAUGUUGAACAACCACCCGGUUUUCAAAGUUUCAACUUUCCUAACCAUGUUUUUAAACUUAAAAAGACACUUUAUGGUUUGAAACAAGCACCUAGAUCAUGGUAUGAAAAAUUGAGUAAAUUUCUUUUGAAAAAAAUGUUUUAAAAUGGGAAAAAUUGACACAACUCUUUUUAUAAAAACCAAAGAAAAUGAUAUGCUCUUAGUUCAAAUAUAUAUUGAUGAUAUCAUUUUUGGUGCUACUAAUGUCUCUCUUUAUGAAGAAUUUUCUAAGUGCAUGCAUAGUGAGUUUGAAAUGAGCAUGAUAGGAGAACUCAACUUCUUCCUUGGACUUCAAAUCAAGCAACUAAAGGAAUGAACCUUCAUCAAUCAAGCAAAGUAUAUAAGAGAUCUUCUCAAAAGGUUCAACAUGGAAGAAGCCAAAACAAUGAAGACUCUAAUGAGCUCAUCCAUUAAGCUUGAUAAGGAUGAGAAAGGUAAAUCCAUUGACUCUAUUAUGUAUAGAGGCAUGAUAGGUUCUUUGCUCUAUUUGACCACUAGUAGACCUUACAUUAUGUAUAGUGUGUGUUUGUGUACUAGAUUUCAAUCUUGUCUUAAAAAAUCUCACUUAAGUGUCGUGAAAAGAAUCCUCAAAUAUUUGAAAGGGACAAUGGACAUAGGCUUAUGGUAUCCUAAGAGUGAUAACUUUGAAUUAAUUGGUUUUUUGGAUGCUGAUUUUGUCAGUUGUAGGGUUGAAAAAUAAAACACUAGUGGCACUUUUCAUUUCUUAAGACACUUACUUGUCUCAUGGCAUAAUAAGAAGCAAAAUUUGGUAGCUUUGUCAACAGCAGAAGCUAAAUACAUAGCAACUGGUUUAUGUUGUGCACAAAUCCUUUGGAUGAAAUAAACACUUAGUGAUUUUGAUUUAUCUUUUGAGCAUAUUCCUAUUAAAUGUGAUAAUAGUAGUGCCAUAAGUAUAUCAAAAAAUCUCGUGCAACACUCUAGGACUAAGCAUAUAGAGAUUAGACAUAAUUUUCUUAGAUAUCAUACACAAAAGGAUGAUAUAACACUUGAAUUUGUAAGCAUAAAAGACCAACUUGCCGAUAUCUUUACAAAACCUCUAAGAACAUUUUGUUGAUAUUAGAGGACAAUUAGGAGUGAUUUCUUUAUGAUCUAAUGUGAUGAAUUCUUGAUGAAUAUACUUUUUGAUUGCAUGAAUUUCAUGUCAUAUAUGCAUCAUAUAGAAAUAUACUUAGAUAAUGGUCAAAUUUCGACCAAAAAUCAAAAUUCCCAUGGCAUUAGGCAUAAAAAUUUUGGAAUUUCAACUGAAAAUGGUAGGAGGAGGAUCACAAAAUGAGAAAGUAUGCAAAAAUUGAAAAAUCAAAACGUUGACCAAGCGGUCAAUCGGACUAGACCGAUCGACUAGUUUGUCGAGAUUUAGGAUUUUUAAGAGACUCCAACGCUUCAAUUUUUGCACCGUUCUCCUCUAUUUCUUCACGGUUUCUCUGAUUUUGUCUUUUAGAGACUAAUUUGAGUGCGUUUUGGAUCAAUUGAAGCAUUUUGGAUUGGAUUUUAGGAAGAUUGAAAGUUAAGGUUUCGGAUUUGGGUCGCCUUCUCUUCCUCUCGCGUGUCACAAUCAGCUUUAGCAUUGUUCUCUUUCCAUUUUCACACACCUAGGGUUUCAGUUGUGAGCAUCUCUCUCUCUUUACCAACCACUACUCCCUUGCUUCUUCCAUAUGGCUCCUAGGCGAGAGUCCGCUACUUCUAGGGCACAAGGCAAGCACCCAACUGAGUCGUCUCAGUCAAAGGCACGUCGAAAAGUGAGAUUUGACAUUGCCUUGUUCAGUUCCAUGGAGGACUACCAACUAUACAAGCAACACUUUGCUUAGAGACGAGUAGUUCCCAAGAGAAAUAUUAAUUUUCCUCAACUUCAGCAUUUCGAAUUUAAGGGUCUAUUUACUAGGAUGGUUGGUUGUCUAUUGUCACAAUUUCGGAGCCGGUUUUCCUGACCUUAGUGCGAGUUUUUUACUCGAGGGCGACUUAUGGCAUGGGUGGCAUGAUCAUUUCUACUGUUGGAGGAGUUGAGAUCUGUCUGGACCCAGAGAGCAUCUGCCAUAUUUUCGAUAUUGCUCUGGUUGGACUCAAAGUAUACAAGUCCAAAAUGUGGCCCAUUGUGCCAGGAUUUGAGCUUAGAGAGGUCAUUCAGAGGAUUUGUGAACUUCCAGACGCCCAGGAGAUGGGCAAACCAUUGCCACACAGUUUGACGGUCAUCAACAGGGUGCUACACCAUAUAUUGUGCUCUAUCUUUCUACCACGAAGUGGACAUUGAGAUGAGGUCUCUUAUUAUGAGGCAUUCCUUAUUGACUCCAUUCUAACGGAGAGACGAAUUCAUCUACUAUGUCAUCAUUCACUAAGCCUCCUCACAGUGACAUACCACCUCAUCAGGCACCUCUUGCUCCUGACCAUGCUCCAUUGAUGGAUUUAUUUACUCAUAUUAGCUCUCUAGGCACUCGCAUGAAGGAGUUUGUUGUAGUUAGUGAUACAUGGUUCUACUCCAUAGAGGAUCGCAUGGAUCAGUAUCAGACUGGCUUCACGUCACAGUUUGAGUAUCUCCAAUAGAGGAUUGAGCAUAUUGAGGAUCACUUGAGCAUGAGAAGAUGAUGGCUUUUCUAUGCUCUGUGUUUCCACCUCCACCUCGUCAACCUUGAUUUCUUAGAGACCCAUUGUUUUCAUUUUGUAAUGUUGCCAAAAGGGGGAGAUAUUUAGGAUCUAGGACUCUAUAGGAGACUUACAUGCAUAUCAUUUUCAUAUCAUUGUUUGGAUCGUACAUAUUGGAUAGUGAUACUUUUUACUUAUAUAUGAUAUGCCUAUAUGUUUCAUGUCUUACAUUGUUUCUUAUUGCAAAUUAUCUCUAACAUGUCUUGAUUAUCUUUUUUUUAACUUCAUAAAUUUUGAUUGUUAACCCAUGAUUGGUUUGAGGGGAAGAUUCUUCUUCUCCUAGAUAACCAAGGUUUGUCAUCAUAAAAAAAUUGGAGAUUGUUAGCCCAAGGGUUCUCCUAAUCAUGUUUUGAUGAUAACAAACCAUGCUUAAGUUACUAAUUGGUUUGAAUUAUAAAGAAUUUCAAGUGUUAAUUUGAAAAUUCAUCAAAGAACCUAAUGGAUGCAAGAUCAAGAUUUUUGGAAGACCUUUAAUCAUAAGAAACAUAUGUAAGAUGAAUGCAUGGGUGCACUUAAGAUUUGCAUAUCAUUUCAUGCAUAUUUGGAAAACACGGUUUAUGCUUUAAAGUUACAUUUCCAUCAAAAUUUGAGAUCCAUCAAAUGAACCUUAGGAAAAAUGUUUUAAAAUUGGCAUAUAAUUUUACCUAAAGACCUUGCCUAAGUGUUAGAAGCAAAAGGACAAAAAAAAUAUAGGUUUUCUGGUCAAAAAUGGUGAACCAGUCAAGGCAUUGUCUAAAUCAGCUCAAUCGGCCAAGGUACCGGUCGAUCGGUUUCCCUUUCCCUGUCGAGAUCUAGUCAAGAGGUACAAAAAUCACAAUCUCUGUCUCUUUCUCUCUUUGUCUAUCUUCCAGUAGUCUUUCCUUCCCGGUCGAGGGAUUUGCCUUCCCGAUUGAGGUCCGAUUGAGAGUAAUAGUCACUUGCCAAAUAUUAAAUGCUCCAACAGUUAGUGAACUGGUCGACCCCCACCUUGCCCAGUUGAGGUUACUUUUUGGUUUUCUUGGCUCCCGAUGUUAGAAACCUAUAAAUAGAGAGUUCCACUUCAUUUAUGAGCAAGAGAACACUUGCAUUUAUUUGUUUACCUACUUGUUCUUGCCUUAAAAGCUCUCAUUUCUUUUCUUGGUGCAUUAAAUCUCCAUUUUGAUAUCCUUUAGUGCACCUUUGUGAUUCAUCUUAGCCUUGAGUUGUAUUUGAGCCCUUUUUUUAGCUAGGUUGAGAGUUUCAUACUUGUUAAUUGAGUGUUAAAGCCUUCAAGUGAGUUGAAACUUGUAGAGAUUAUGUGAGAGUCGAUUGGAGCCGAAAUCCAAGUGUAAAGGUGAUUAGAAGCUUGGUUGAAGCUUCAAGUUAGUGGAAUCCUCACUCAAUUAGGAGCUUGAGGAGAGUGGACGUAGCCAAGGAAGUGUCGAACCACUAUAAAAUUUGAGUUUGAUUUCUCUAACAUUGUCUCUUUAUAUUUGUUUAUCUUGUGCUUAAAUUUAUUGUGUUUAAAAAGAAUUUUUAAAUACCCAAUUCACCCCCCUCUUGGGUGUUUUUCUCUUUUAAAAUUAGCCUUUAUUUUCUCACAAACUAUUGUAGUAUAGUGGUUUUUAGGUGUCAUCCAUUAGGAUGAAUUGUUCUCGGUAAUUAAGGCGUGAAUGAGAGGAGAAUUAAUGAUUGUGAUUAAGUAAAAUUGAUUUGAAAAUUCAUGGUGAAAAAUCAAUUUAACAAUGGUUUCUAAUUGAGAAAAACAAUGAAAUGUGAAAUAAAAUAAAAUUAAUAGGAAAUGAAAUUCUCGAAGUUAGAAUUUUCUAAAAAACAAAUUCCAUGGUGAAUGGAUGUUGAGAUCUAAUUUUCAUCAAGUUAGAUUGAAAACCGAAAUUUUCAUAUAAACUGAUUUUUUAUUUAGUUUUAGGUCUAGAUUUAAUUUCCCUUAAAAUUAGGUUAUUUAAUCCAAGAAAUCAAUUCAAAUCAUAUAUUCAAUUCAUCUUAAAUUAUCUUCCAAUUAUUCACACAAUGCAACUAUUCAAUCUCAUCAAAUCUAGCUUUUAAGAAUUUAAUGAAUCUACCUAGUUUGCAUUGUAAUAGUCAUCCAUGACAAUUUGAAGAGAAAAAUAAUUCAAUUAAUCAAUCACUUGGAUCAAAUUACCUUUGCAAUUAAAGUUCAUUUCUCUAAUUCACCACAGAUUUUGUCUCUAGAUCCUCCUUUCUCAAAGAAAAAUGAGAUUUAGCCACACAUGAUUGGAGAUUUGGUCUCAUAAGGCAUGUUUAGCUAGUGAUAAAAUGAGAGAAAAUAAAGAAAAAUAGAGAAUUCGAUUAAGAAAGAAAAUCUAAAAAAUUCUACAAUUAGAAAUGUCCAAAAAGCUUUUUCAUGAGAAAAUCAAGUUUCUAUUUAUAGGCCAAGGUCAAGUGGACACUUGACAUCAUCUAAGAGGUCUUCCGGAAGCUUCUUCAUCAAGAAAUCUGGAGUUUAAUAAUAAAAUGGUCAUUUCACAAGAGCUCAAACAAUUUCGCAUGAUUAUGUGAAAUAAAAAAUGCAACAACAGCAAUUUACAUCUUCUUGGAGCAUUUCGCAUGACUGUGUGAAAUUUUCACAUGAUCAUGUGGAAUCGACUUGACAACUCUCAUUUAGCCUACAACAUAAUUCCACCUUUUGGUCCAUUUUUCAUAGUCAUGCGAAAUGGAAAUAUUUGAUUUUUAAGUUUUCUUUUGUCAUUUCUUUCAUUUCCUUCUCUUGAUUCCACUUCAACUACCUCCGAAUCCUGGUCCAAACCAAUUGCAUUACUUCUUUCAUUAUGCAUUUGGAUCAUCAUCAACAUUAUUUGUUCUCUUCAAUUUGAUUCAUCUCUUUUGUCACCAAUUUAUCAAAAUCAUACCUUGAAAUGACUCCAAAACUUCAUAAAACUUGUUAGUAACUCUUGCAAGGGCAACAACAUAUUAAUUAAGUGUUUUAGGCAUAGUUACUACUCAAAAGAUGCGAAACUCAUGAUAAUUAUUAUAUAAAAUAUGCUCUUUUUGAGUAGUAAUCAACUUUCUUGCAUAAGCAGACCUUUUAGGGUGGAGUACUAAAGACCAAUAUGCUUGUCCUUGUUGUAAUAAAGAAACUUGCUCUUAUUGAUUGCACCAUGGGAGAAAAUUUUGCUACAUGAGUUAUCAUCAAUUUCUUCCCACCAAUCAUAGAUUUAGACGUGACAAGAGGCCUCUUAAUGGCAAGGAGGAACUGACACUCACACUUAUACAAUUAUCGGGCAUUGAUGUGUUGCAACAAUUAGAAUAACUUACACCAAUUAUGUUGGGGAAGUCACAAAAGGCAAACAUGAAAACUAAAAGGAAAAAAGAAAAAUGUUACAUAUCACCACAACUGGAAAGAAAAAAGUAUUUACUUUCAUUUGCCAUAUUGGAAAGCACUUAUUUUACAUCAUAAUAAUUUAGACAUAAUGCAUAUUGAGAAAAAUGUGUGACAAUAUAAUUGAGACAUUGUUCAGUAUUGACGAAGAAACAAGGACAACCUAAAUAGUCAUCUCGAUUUACAAGCUCUAACUAUUAGAAAUGAGAUUCACCCAAUAGAAAGCAGGACCAAAUUUAUUUUGCUUGCAACAUGCUACUCACUCACCCCAAAUGAGAUUAAGGAAUUUUGCAAGUUUUUGAAAUCAAUAAAGGUCCCCAAUGGCUAUUCUUUCAAUAUCUCUCGUUAUGUGCAACUCAAUGAAAGGAAGAUAUAUGAGCUCAAAUUGUAUGAUUGUCAUGUCCUAAUGCAACAACUUCUCUCACUUGUAGUUCGUGGAGUUCUACAUAAGAAUGUUUGUGGAGUUAUCAUAGAAUUGCGUAAUUUUUUCAAGCAAUUGUGCUCAAAGGUGUUAGAAACAAAUCACUUACACCAACUUGAGAACAAUAUUAUUGUCAUACUAUGUAAAAUGGAGCAAAUAUUUCUUCCAUCAUUCUUUGAUAUUAUGGUGCAUUUACUUGUGCAUCUAGUAAGGCAAAGGUUGCAAGACUUGUGCAAUAUUGUUGGAUGUACCUAAUUGAACGAUAUUGUUAUAAUUUCAUAUGAAUCAUUUAAUUUUAUUUUAUAUUAUGUUCAGUUCAUUAACAUGUACAUUGGUCUACAUAUGGAUGAUGAUAGGUACCUAAGCACUUUAAAGUCAUAUGUGCGUAAUAGAACUUUUCUAGAAGGUUCUAUUGUAGAAAGGUACCUUGCAAAAGAAUGUACAACAUUUUAUUCUAGGUACUUGAAUGAUGUGGAAAUAAAGUAUAAUCACAAUGAUAGAAACUUUGUUGGUUUCAACACUAGAGGAGAUGAAAGGGGUUAUCUUUAAACAUAUUGGACAUGCAUUGGGAAAGCCCAUAUUUCAUUAACUUAGUUCAAAAGAGUGGUCACAAGCACAUUUAUAUGUGUUGACAAAUUGCGAAGAUGUCAUACCAUUCAUUGAGUAAAAAAUUUAUUUGAAUUUUAAUUAAAGCUCUAGUUUAUAUCCUUAAUCAAUGUUUUUUAAAUUCACAAGGAGCACAAGCAAACCAUCAAGGCUAGACCACAUAUACGUGUUUGAGACGUAGAUUUAAUUCAUAACAAGGAAUUUAUCAAGUGGUUUGAAAGACAUGUAAGUAUAUUCCUUAUUAUAAGGGAUUUAUUUCACAUUAUGUUUAUAUUGAAUCCAAACCUAUUAUUGAAUUGUAGGUUGAACAAUUACAUAAUGAAGGUCAUAUAUCUGAACACCUUCUCACAUUAUCAUGUGUUCCAAAUUCAUUAGUUACAUGCUUCAAAUGAUAUAUUGUCAAUGGAUUUAGAUCCCACAUUAAAGAACGUGAUAAAAAAGUUUUUAAAAAAAGACUCAGAAUAAUGGAAUUGUUGUAGUUGCAAAAACGUCAAGCUUUACAAGUGCAUGUGAUAUGAGUCCAAUUAUUAGUGAUGCUCUCUACUAUGGUGUUCUAACUAAAGUUGUUGAGUUACAUUAUCUUGGUGAAAAUAAGGUUGUUUUAUUCGAGUUUGAUUGGUGGGAUGUUACAAAUAUUGGAAAAUUGAUAAAAGAUGAUGAGUACAAUUACACAUUUGUUAACUUUGCAUGAAUUCUAACCACGAACGAACGAUUUGUACUUGCAUCUCCAGCAAAGUAAGUGUUCUAUGUGAAGAAUGCGAAUGAAUCAGAUUGGCAUACUAUCAUGGAGAUGCAACCUCAAGACCUCUAUAAGAUGAACGGGAUAGGAUCCAAUGGUGAUUUUGAACCAUUUCAACAAAGUGAACUACAUGAUCACUAAUAUAUCUCAGAUUUAGUUGAUGAAGAUAUAAUCAAGUGGAACAAAAGUGAUGUUUUAGGACUAAUCAUCCUAAAAAAUAUUGUAGUUUCUUAAAAAAAAAAUGAAAAUGAAGAAGAUAAUUGAACCUUUGUCAUACUUUAAAAAGCAACUAUGCAUUGUUCAUUUUGUAUGUUUUGGUUUUCUUCAUUUAAUUUCCUGAUUUUUGUGAUUCAAUGUCAUAUUAUUGAUCUUGAAAUAUUUUUCUAAUUUUUCAUUCUACGAUGGUUUCAACAAGGAUGACAUCAAGUCAAAAAAGGAAAUGUGGUCCCACACACAAUAUUGCAUUACAGGGAUUAAGGUCAGGGAAGAAGGUAAAAGUUGCAUUUAAUGAGUACAAUCAAUUGGUUAAACAGAAAAAUGGAAAACACUUAUCGAGCUACAUAGGGACACUUGUAUCUAACCAACACAAUGUACCUCUCCAAGCUAGUGAUUGGAAAAAUGUUCCAAAUGAUGCAAAAGAGAAAGUAUGGCCUUUGUUUUGGUAUGUUGUAUUUCUCACUAUAUGAUGUCAUUUCACUGUUAUUCUAUUUUGUGACUAACGUUUGAAUCAUAUGUAAGAAAAAUUUGAAGUAGAUAAAGACUGAAAAGAUUACAUGUUGGGUAUAGCCUCAAAUAAAUAUAGAAGCUAUAAAAAUAUGAUGAAUGCAAAAUACUAUGACCCUUGGCAUAAGGAUGCAUGAGGAGAGGUUAAUACAUAAAUCACCAUUUGUCUCUGAUGUUGAUUGGAAGUGGCUUGUCUCUGAUGCAUAAACCAAAUCCCCCACUGAAUGUUUGAUAUUUGAUAGCAGGAAAAACACACCCGCAGCUAUACACCUCCAUCAUUCAGAUAAUUAUAGUGGGGGAGAUGAUUCAUGGUUGCCCUUAUACCCUUUAUUUGCACCAUCUAUUGAGAUUCUUUAUCAUGGCCAGGUUUUACUGCAGCAAUAAGAUAUGGUGGCAACAAUUUUAUCUAUAGGUGCGGUUCCAGACCGCCUCCAUAGGUGCGGUUCCUGACUGCCUCCAUAGGUGCCUCUUCUUGUAAUGUUUGUUCUGGGAAUUACACUUGAAAGCCUUAUCGUGAUAAGGGAUUACAAACACUAGUUCAGAGGACAGCCAUGUUAAACUUCCACUAUGUUUGUGUCACAUUAUCAGCAGCCUAGUGUUUAUUGGUCAUGCUAUCUGCAACUAAUAUAACCCGGUGAACUUCAAUCUAAAUUCUGAAAGUACUCAUGUGACAGAUGGUGCCUUUCAGCAGAUAUCAUCAAUUUAAAAGUAGUGUGUGUGCCUAUAGGUGGGAAGGCCUUGGCAAAUGUUCAGUAUUCCGGUAAUUCAAGAAGGAUAUAUCUAAAAUAGAUUUUCUUCUUGCCCAUUUCAAUAGUUAAAAUUUGAGAAGAUUGUGUCCACAUCACACAAAUAUUAUUGGUCCUUCUGUUGCAAUUUACCUCUGAACAUGUCUUCCAAUUCCCACGGUCCUGUUACUCCAGGAAAACUAUUUCGGUCAUAUUGAAAAAAAAAAUAUUAAAGAAGGUACACAUGCUUUUAAGUGGACUGGGGCAUUCAUAUCAGGUGGUCUGUAUCCACAUAUGCCACUUCGUGAAAGGUGGAACAGCCUAAUCACUAGGCUAUUUAGUGUGGCCCAGCCACGUUAAUCAAGCACAAGUCUUCAUACUUAAAGUCAAAUGGUGUCUUUAGUCUCAUUACACAUCGCUAUUUGAAGAUUAACUCAUCACUAGUGUAAUGCGAUUAAGACAGUCCUAACUCAAUAUUUGUUCUAGUUUUGGAUGCAAAUGCUUGCUGGUUUCAUCAUUGGAUGGGAUAAAGGUGCAAUCAGGACUAUGAAUACGUGCAGUAAUACUUCAUUCUCUUUUUUCUCAAUGAGACUUCUUGGCACAAUUUUGCUGCUCAGCAACCUACCUUUCCAUGGAAAAUCAGUUGUGACUGAUAGUAAUGGAUAUAUUCUAGAAAGCUAAACAUAGAUAGCAUUCAAUAUUAUCGAUAUAACAUUAACAGCGUAUGUCUCAAUGCUCAUCAGCUACAAGCAAUGGACAAACACUUUGAGUAACUCACAGCAGUCAAAAUUCCUAAACAGGACAGACGUGACAGAUCUAUAUAUAGAACACUGCAUAUGAGUCACAGGAAAAGAUAAUACGGGUACAUAGAAGCUCUUAUUUUACAUAUUACUCAUACUGAUCAAAGUCGCUCAGUUGGGAUGGAUGGGAGAAGGAGGUUUGAGGGGUGGCUUGUGCGGGGAAGUUGGCAGCUUCUUUCCGGGAGCUGGUUGCUUCUUUGCUGGAGUUGAAGGAGGCUUAAUCUUCCGAGGUGGCUUGUAUGAGUCUUCAGCAUUCUCAGCAGGAGGGUGACCAGGGUUGUGACCAUAAUGUGGUGGCUUCUCUCCCUUAGGUGGUUUGCCAACUGGGGUUGGUGGCUUGUUUUCUGGGAGUGGCUUCUCUCCCUUGGGUGGUUUGCCAACUGGGGUUGGUGGCUUGUGUUCUGGGAGUGGCUUCUCCCCCUUGGGAGGUUUUUCGAAUGGGGUGGGUUUGUGUCCUGGUGGUGGCUUCUCUCCCUUGGGAGGUUUACCAAUUGGGGUCGGUGGCUUGUGUUCUGGGAGGGGCUUCUCUCCCUGGGGAGGUUUAGUGGGUGGCUUGUGUUCUGGAGGUGGCUUCUCCACCGGAGGCUUAUGCUCUGGUGGUGGCUUCUCGAAGGGGGGAUGCUCAGGGUAAUCACCAAGUGAGGGGGUGGUGAGAACCACCAUGCCAAGCAACAACACUAGCAAGUAUGUAGUAGACAUCUUUGGGUUUGGACUCAGACAGUGCAAAACUACGAGAAAUCGCUAGCCCUUUAUAGCGGCUCGGACCUAAUACUGACAUAAUAUAAAAUAAAUAUUAUAUUUUAUCAAGAGAGAACAGAGUGUAAUUUUAUCAUUAAUACCGAUCGAGGCCAAAGAAAGAAGACCCAUAAUCCAUUUCCCACAAGCAUACACAAUGCAGCUGUAAUUUUAUCAUUUACUUUUAUCCCUUGGACCACUGCAUUUUUGUUGAGAGACACAAUAACACAUUUUUAUCUGUCAUUCAACAUUUACAGUAAAGAGAGGGCACAAAACGCAAUUAGAUAAAUUAUGUUUUGCCUGCUAAAAAGAGGCAAAUAACUUUAUUUGCAACAUAAUUAUUUUGGUUUCUAGUGACCCCGGGGCCUUUCGGUUGGUUUGGGAUCGGAAAAUGAACAUCAUAGGGGGGGUUGUGCCCUUAUGGGCAUAUAUAUCUGAUAGCUUCAACUGGCCUUGUUCCUAGAAAGAAAUUGCCAAAGAUAUAAACUUAUUCCAGGCUGAAAGUAGAUGAGAGUCAUAAUGAACAUCAACCUUUGUUCAGUUUGAUUCAAUGCCCCCAUAGUGUUCAUUUCACAGAUCUGAAUGAUUAUAUCCGUUGAAUACAUAAAUUAAUGAAGACAAAUAUGAAACCCAAGAUACAUCUCUGCAUAACAACCCCAACCCUGGUUGCUAUGUUUCCCUUCUUCUAUUCACAUGAGGAUACUGGUUAUAAUUGUCAAACUUGCAACAAGCCCUUUGACACCUAACGUCAAUGGACGAAUUAAAAGUCUCCUUCAAACGUCUAUUUCACAGCAUGAAGCUUAUAAAGGAUGCUGACAACCUUCAGAGUUAGCGACAAAAGAUAAUUAUCAAGGAGAGAUAGUUCCAUGAGAAUUCCAAGGAGUCUGAAUCAAAGACAAAUUGCUCACUCAAGGGUUCUUAUUUUCUUUUAGGUACAAAUCUCUUGAGUGUUGUUAAAGAAACACGUCACUGUCAUUUUGAUUUGCAUUUAACAUUUCACUUUUGUUCUGGAAGGUUUGUUCCGGAAACAUAUCAAAUGAGCAUCAUUUUCUUCUUCGGUGACACAUGGUCGCGAGUACGUGGGUCCAUUUUCAUGCCACUUAGUUGAAAAGUUGGAAAGAAAAAACAUGCCAACAAGAAGAUAGUGAGAGAAGGGGCACUUCAAGCCUUUAACAUGAACAAACAGUAAAUAAAAGAUGUUUCUCCACUCAUAAAAGUGUGUUAGAUAGCAAUAUAACGAAUCACAUCCAAAAUCUUUACUAGGCUCAAACAUAAAGAAGACUCAUUUUUAAGAAAAGAUAAAAAUGGCAUUGUCUGAUAGUAUCCAAUACACGAGAUGGCACUUAAUUUGUACAAGAUCUGUCAAUGCUGACGCACAUUUUCUGAUUAAAAAAAAACUGAUCAGUCAAAAGCAAUGAAGAGAAGUGAUGACAAUGAAUGAUGCUUCCAAUAUUUUCACCCCUUAUAGUGUUCUUCAUGAUUCAGAUAUAUAAUUGGAAAUAGAACAACCCUAUGCCAUACAUUCGUCUAAGUAUGGUGUCUAAUUUUUUGUGUCAGCGGUUGCGAAUGGAGCGUGCAAAAGUCCAAAUUGGCGUCUCUCCAUUUCCACAUAGGAAGGUGACCUUUAUUGACAAAUACCCAAUAUUUGUAGACAUUCCUUAAAUAUCAUAACUUCUUGUUGAUUUGAAAAUCAUUUUUCAACUACCAUGUUUUAAUAAAUAUUUUUUAAAAUGUAUUUUUAUCAAAGUCCACCAUGAUGGAUAAUAUUCACCAUGCAAUAAUUAAUAAAGUACAAACUAAGCGAAAUGAAAAGCAUUUUCUUUGCUUUGAGUUGAUUUUGGUUGCAUUGAGUUGAUUUUGGUUUCAUGGUUUUUUCAACUCUUAUUUUGAUUGGAAGAUGUCAAGAAAAGAAAACAUAAAGAAAAAUUAAAAGGGAAAAAAGAAGAAAAAUAAAAAAAAAUAGAUUUAAAAGUUAAUAAAUUAUUUUUUAUAUUUAUUUUAAUUCAUUUCACUUAUUUUUCUUUUACUAUAUAAAAUUUAAAUAAUUUAAAUUUUAUAAUUAAUUUAAUUACAUUUCAUUUUCUUCUAUAUUUAAAUAUUGGAAAAAUAUUUUACUUAAUAUUUUUUUCUUUAAUUUCUUUGGCAUUUUGGGAACCAAACUUAGCCUUUAAAAUAAAAAACAAAAAAAAAAUGAAAAUAAGGAGGGAAAAGUGAGAAAAGAUAAAAACAAUAUGUAAAGGAUUUGAAAAGUAUUAGUUUGUAAUUACUAUUUGGAUUUCAAUAGUAUUUUAUUUGUCUUUCUAUAUUUCAUGUAAGAGAGAAUUUAAGAUAUUCCCCAAGGCAAAGCAUUAGUUACCUGCAAUCAGUGGUGAUAAGGCUCCAAGCCAAUUUUGGGCCCCAUAUCUUAAGACAGUACAAUUUCCAUUUCAACAUUUCUGAUUUCUCAGAUGUUUCACAUACCACAGAAGAACAUUGUUUGUGAAAAUAUGCAUUUAUGUUGGAUUUUGUAUGCUGUGGGGACUGGGGCAAGGAUCAUAUGGAAGAGUGGUUGACUUUUUCUGUACUUUAACGGUUGAAAUAGGAUAAGCACGGGCAUUUGUGAGGCUUAAUUGAUUUUGAAGCCUGAAAUUGCGUUUCUGUCAUUUUGUCAAAAAAAUGGCAGAUUCCAUACUCAUAUGUUUGGCCUGUGGCCAUGUACAGAUGCCAUUUAGUGACCAGUUUGUAACUGUCAAUCGUUGCGUUUUGACUCUGCCUCAACAACAUCUGCCAUUGACGGGUUUUCAUACUUGCAAAUCAAAUAGUCUUUCGUCCCAUCAGGAAUUUCGGUUUAAAUAUUAUUAAGCAUACGUUUGGCUGACAAUCAUUAUCCAGUUCAUGAUUUGGUUUCUUACCCUUAAUCAAUGGUUUCUAAGUGAAUAUAUGUAGAAGGAAAUCCGAAGUGUAGACAGUAGUAUCGAUAACUCUCAAUAUUCUCUAUAUAAUAGAAUAAACAGCGUCAUAGUGAUCGUCGCCUACAAGCAAGGUACAAAUACCAAAACGAGUGACUCACAUAGACAUCUCCCAACAAGAUGUAGUAGUGACUGACACAUGGACACAAUUAACUCGUAGAAAAGGAUAAGACCAUUGCACAGCAGCUCUUAUUUUACAUACUACUUAUGCUAACCAAAGUCAAUUAGUUGGGAUGGGUGGGAGAUGGAGGUUUGUGCGGUGGCUUGUGGGGCGGAGUUGAUGGCUUCUUUCCAGGAGCUUCUGGCUUUUUCAUCGGAGCUGAAGGAGGCUCAAUCUUAUGAGGCGGCUUGUAUGAGUCUUCUUUACUCUCGACAGGAGGGUGGCCAGGGUUGUGAUCAUAAUGUGGUGGCUUCUCUCCCUUAGGUGGCUUGCCAACUGGGGUUGGUGGCUUGUGUUCAGGAAGUGGUUUCUCUCCCAUGGGAGGUUUAGCAAUUGGGGUUGGUGGCUUGUGUUCUGGGAGUGGCUUCUCUCCCUUGGGAGGUUUAGUAGGUGACUUGUGUUCUGGAGGUGGCUUCUCCACCGGAGGCUUGUGCUCCGGUGGUGGCUUCUUGGUUGGAGGGGGCUUGGGGUAAUCAGCAAGAGAUGGGGUGGUGAGAACCACCAGUCCAAGGAACAACACUAGCAAGUAUGUGGGAGACAUUUUUGAGUUUGGGCUGAUCAGAUGAUGCAAAACUAAAGCAUUACGUGACCUUUUAUAGCAUGUAGCUCCCAAUACCCACUAAGUAUUGUGGGGUCCAUUUGUGCCCUACGGGGUUGAAAACUUAGACAAUUGGGCAAGGACCCACCUGACUAUGGAGGACUAGUGAGGUGUGAUCAUAGCUUUAGGAUUUUUCUUCCUCUGCAGCCGUCGUGCCGUUGGCAUGAUUUUCUUAAUCUUAAAUAAAGGCAUAGUUAUAGAGUUGUUUAAUCUCUAAAUGGGAUUUUAUAUAUAUCUUCAGAUAGCCAUUAAUAUAUUUGAUGAAGAAAGAAAGACAAGUGCAUACAACAUGUAUACGACUAGCUUUCAUGGAGUUCAUUUAUGAUCAGUUUUCCUGUACAUGUAAACCAGGAUCAUAUAUAUGUUUCUGUUCCACAACUAUUUUGGAAUCUUGUUUAUCAGUUUUUAUCAUUAUAAUGUCACAUAGGCUGCCAACUUGGGCGCUAAAAGAACCAGUUGGGCUAGUUCGUUUCAGAAUUUCAAUGUGGAUUCAGGAAUUGUUUUGUAAGAUAUGCGAAAUAGUAGAGGGAUGAAUAGUGUUUCAUUAAUAAAAGUGUCCUGUAAAUUAGAAGGUGUCAUAGAAACUAUAAUCAAUAAAUAACUUUUUUUCCCCACGGGUGGUGUUUCUUGUGGGGAUCAGUGACUGGUUUAGGUUCACCCAAAAUGAGUUCAGACUAAAAUUGGUUUGAGUCAAUGCCGUGUCUCUUUUUUCCAGAAAUCAACUAUUUUAUGCAUUGAAUAAAUCAUACAAAGAAAAUAUGAACGCCCGCAAAACCUAAACCCUGGUUGCUAACUUUCUAUGUUUCAGUUCUAUUCACGCAAGAAUAUUAGUUUAAGUUUGGGAAAAAUGGCAACUUACCUAGUGAUUACUUGGUUUUGGUUUGCGACUAUUUACGCAACCAACCAUGAGUUUGACUUUAACGUCAUGGGUUGAAGCCUCCUACAGGAAGGGAGAAAGCUCCACAGCUAGCUCCAAAAGAGAAUUAUCACAUUGAUAGCUCCAGAGAUUCCCAAGGGGACUGAAUCAAAGACAAGUUCCUCACUUUUUCUUCUUUUGAGGCCAAAUAUGAACCAAGGAUCACACAACCUCAUUCAACUUCAUAAGUUUGAUUUCAUGCAGUUGAACACUGGGUGAAGGCCAUGACAAGAAUUGAUUCAAAAAUUCUAUCACUCUUUUAAGUAAUGGAAGAUUAUUAUCUCUGAUUGGCAUCACAACAGCACAUGCUCCUAGAUCUUUCUAGACACUCCAUGCAAUGAAAGCACAAUGGAUCUUGUAACGAUAGAAACUAAGCCAUGCUACAGUACUAGAUGAUGAGGUAAAACUAGUAGACACGGGUGGCAGCCUAUAUGGGAGGGACACAAGUCUAAUUGAUUUGCAUUUCAGCAUUAUAGAUAGGUAUGUUUUGGAAGAUUUGUUCUGGAAAUACCGCACCAAGUAGGAUUCUUUUUCUCUUUAGUGGGUCCACUUGCAUGCCAAUUAACGAGUUGAAAAGUAUGAGCACCUACCUCGUGCUCGUGGAACCGAAGGUCAGUGAAGUGGGGCUCCUUUUGGCCUCGUGUAAACUUGAUUCAGAAGUGAAGUUAAUAGUCUUCCAUUCAGAUGGAUACAUGGGAAUUUUUCUCUUUUAUUUAUUUAUUUAUUUUUUUUUUGUGUGUGUAUGUCAAAGGAUAAUGAAUGAAGCGCGUUAGCUUGUUUUCUGACUGGAACCGCAGAUGUCCAAAUUGGAGUUCCUUCAUUUCUUACUUAGGAUUGUUACAUGUAUAAACAAGGUAUAAGAAAUAUGCCAACGUGUCUUGAGGAGUUAUUGAUUAGAAAUAACAAGUCACCCGACUGUAGAGUUCCAAGAUUUGAAUCUUCAGACCCUAUAGCAGCCUCUGGGGUACGUGGCAUCCUAUAGCAUAUUAAUGAAGGCUUUUUCGAUUUAGACUUCACAAUACCAAUUAAUAUGUAUGCACAAAAUGGAGAUGACCCCAAAAAAAACAGAAUCGCCAUAGUUUAUGAGGUUAAGGUGAUUCUCCACUUAAUAUCUACAUUAGCUAAUUAUGUAAAUCAAAUGAACUUCUAUUUUUCCUUUUUUUUUUUGGUUUAUGUCAAAUAGUAGCCCAUAAUUAACCCAACCAUUAGCCUGUUUGAAUUGAUUUCACAUGCACAAUGUUGUAGUAGUUCAUAUUUUGAAUUUUAUUUUUACAAAGGUAGUUAAGGAAAAUGAAGUAUAAUAAUUAUAAAAGCAGACUAUAUACACUACAAUAAUUGUUAGAAUGGUAUCUCAAAUUCUAAUUUAAAAUAUUAUUUUUUGUAAAAGAAAUAUUAUAUAGAAUAUUUCCUAAUUUUAUAAAUGAUUAUAAUUAGAUCUUUAUAAAAUAAGGAAAGUUGGUAAGAAUAUCUUUAUAAAUAUUUUAGGUCAUGAGAGAAAGAAAUGGGAUAAAAAUGUGAUGAAGAGGUGAAAUAAGAGAGUUGAUUAGGAUAUAGAUGUGAAGAAGAAAGGGAUUCAAUAUAUAUAUAUCUUUCAAUUACCACAUUAAAACCCUGUGAACCUUUUAUAUGGUUUACUUUAUUUUUAUAUUCCUCCUUUAAUAUAUUUACAUUAAUGCUUCCAUUGGCACAACAAUAACGAAUUACAAAUACAAGCAACAAGUCCCAUGUUUUAUUACCAAAAGCAGGUAAAAUCCACCUAAUAUAUUACAAUAUAUUCAUCCAAUAUUUUAGACCAAUUCUUCACCAUAAAUAUCAUAAUGUGGCUUUUGUUCUUUCUUAAAUUUAAAUUGAAUUGUCUUAUAUCAAUUUGUUUGUGAUUUUUUCAUUAACUUCACUUUCAUUUGGUUAUCUUUGGUUUUUGAAAAGUAUUAAGGAAUUAAUUAACAAAAUAAUGUUAAGAAAAAUAAUUUUCUCUCUUUUGAUUUUGAUUUUGUAGUAGAAAAAUAUAAUUAAAAUUAUUUAAAAAGUAUGUAAUUUUAAAUUAUUUAAUAUUUAGAUAAAAAAAAUAAGUCUAAUGAGUUUAAAAUAACAUAUAAAAAUAAUUUAUUUAUUUUAAAUUUAUUUUUUAUUUUCCAUUAUGUUCUCUUUCUCUUUUACUUUUUCAUAUUUUUUCUUACGAAGAAUCAAACACAACCUCAUAUUAUAUGUCAAGUGUUUGUCUAUAUUUGAGCAAUGUUAGAUACGGCCAUGGAUUCAUCAAACUAAACUGAUUUUAAUAGAUACUUCACAAAUUGAUUUAUACACUAAAUCAUUGGAUAGCAAUGAUGCAUUGGAAUUAAACGUAGGAUGAAGCUCGAAGAACACUGUUUGUGUAACAACAUAUUUAUGAAAUUAUGCAAAGGAUGAGCUUCGGGGUAGUAGUACAAGGUCAUUAAUGGAGAGCCGUGUUAAACCUUGAUUGUGAUUGGAUUCCGUUAUCAGCAACAGCAACCUUGUUUGUAACCUUGAAAGUCAUUCUGUCCACAUCGAAACUCCAAUUUGACGUUUGUAAUUACCAUUCCUGGAGUGUUCCUUGAUUGAAAUUUAAAUAAUAAUUGCGGCCCACAAGGAAUAUUUUCGAUUCUGUGGGAAUUUGACAAGGUUUGUUAGAGAAGACUGGUGACAUGUUGACUUCAAUGGUUCAAAUAGGAGACGUAUGUGGAUUUGGGGGGUUUAAUUGAAACUGAGUCCCUAUGGCUUUUUAAUAUUUGCAUUGAGCAGUCUCCAUGUGACUUCCUAAUUCCCACCAACCCUCCUGUCCAUGCUGUGAAACUAAAUUGUAAUUUAUCAGCCUUUGUCAAUGGUUUCUAAAUUAAAGAUAUAGACCAUGCAUGUACUUUAAUAAAAGCAAAUCUAAAGUGUAGAUAGCAGCAAUGGUGACACCCAAUAUUCUCCAUAAAAUAGAAUUAGAAUAAGCAGUGUUACAUUGUUCAUGAUCACCUACAAGCAUACAAGAACUUCCAUGAAUAACUCAUAGCAAUUGCCAACAGGGCGUCGUAGAGACUCAUACAUAGAACACUAUCCACCCAGAGGAAAGGACAAGACCAGUGCGCUGCAGCUCUUAUUUUUCACAUGUAUACCACCACUCGUAAUAACCAAAUUCACUCAGUUGGGAUAGGUGGGAGAUGGUGGUUUGUGGGGUGGCUUGUGGGGAGGAGUUGGAGGAGGCUUUAUUUUCUGAGGCGGCUUGUAUGAGUGUGCAGGAGGAUGCCCGGGAGUGUGACCAUAAUGUGGUGGCUUCUCUCCCGUAGGUGGUUUGCCAAAUGGGCUUGGUGGCUUCUCUCCCUUAGGAGGUUUACCAAUUGGGGUUGGUGGCUUGUGUUCUGGGAGUGGUUUCUCUCCCUUGGUAGGUUUGCCAAUUGGGGUUGGCGGCUUAUGUUCUGGGAGUGGCUUCUCUCCCUUGGGAGGUUUGCUAAUUGGGGUUGGCGGCUUAUGUUCUGGGGGCGGCUUCUCUCCCUUGGGAGGUUUGCCAAUUGGAGUUGGCGGCUUAUGUUCUGGGAGUGGCUUUUCUCCCUUGGGAGGCUUGCCAAUUGGGGUUGGCGGCUUAUGUUCUGGGGGUGGCUUCUCUCCUUUAGGAGGUUUGCCAAUUGGAGUCGGCGGCUUAUGUUCUGGAAGUGGCUUUUUUCCCUUGGGAGGUUUGCCAAUUGGGGUUGGCGGCUUAUGUUCUGGGGGUGGCUUCUCUCCCUUGGGAGGUUUGCCAAUUGGAGUCGGCGGCUUAUGUUCUGGGAGUGGCUUCUCUCCCUUGGGAGGUUUUGUUGGUGGCUUGUGUUCUGGAGAUGGCUUCUCCCCUGGAGGCUUGUGCUCCGGAGGUGGCUUCUGAAAUGGCGGGGGCUUGGGGUAAUGAGCAAGAGAUGGA